rnacentral:tRNA from 1 species
CCAUGGCUCAGUUGGUAGAGCGACGCAUUCGUAAUGCGUAGGUCGCCGGUUCGAGUCCGGCUG